GAUGAACGCUAGGCUACAGGCUUAACACAUGCAAGUCGAGGGGCAGCAUGGUCUUAGCUUGCUAAGGCCGAUGGCGACCGGCGCACGGGUGAGUAACGCGUAUCCAACCUGCCUUACACUCUUGGACAGCCUUCUGAGAGGGAGAUUAAUACAAGAUGUUAUCAUGAGUAAGCAUUUUCGCAUGAUUAAAGGUUUACCGGUGUAAGAUGGGGAUGCGUUCCAUUAGAUAGUAGGCGGGGUAACGGCCCACCUAGUCUUCGAUGGAUAGGGGUUCUGAGAGGAAGGUCCCCCACAUUGGAACUGAGACACGGUCCAAACUCCUACGGGAGGCAGCAGUGAGGAAUAUUGGUCAAUGGACGAGAGUCUGAACCAGCCAAGUAGCGUGAAGGAUGAAGGUUCUAUGGAUUGUAAACUUCUUUUAUACGGGAAUAAACGAAUCCACGUGUGGAUUUUUGCAUGUACCGUAUGAAUAAGGAUCGGCUAACUCCGUGCCAGCAGCCGCGGUAAUACGGAGGAUCCGAGCGUUAUCCGGAUUUAUUGGGUUUAAAGGGAGCGUAGAUGGGUUGUUAAGUCAGUUGUGAAAGUUUGCGGCUCAACCGUAAAAUUGCAAUUGAUACUGGCAGUCUUGAGUACAGUUGAGGUAGGCGGAAUUCGUGGUGUAGCGGUGAAAUGCUUAGAUAUCACGAAGAACUCCGAUUGCGAAGGCAGCUUACUAACCUGUAACUGACAUUGAUGCUCGAAAGUGUGGGUAUCAAACAGG
rnacentral:rRNA from 1 species